rnacentral:rRNA from 1 species
AUAAACGCUGGCGGCGUGCCUUACACAUGCAAGUCGAACGGUCUAGUGGCUUCGGCCACUAGGUAGUGGCAAACGGGUGAGUAACGCGUGGGUGACCUGCCCAGAAGUGGGGAAUAACUCCUCGAAAGGGGAGCUAAUACCGCAUGUGGCCGUGGGACCAAUCCUGCGACUAAAGCCGUAAGGCGCUUCUGGAGGGGCCUGCGUCCGAUUAGCUAGUUGGUGGGGUAACGGCCUACCAAGGCGAUGAUCGGUAGCUGGUCUGAGAGGAUGAUCAGCCACACUGGAACUGAGAUACGGUCCAGACUCCUACGGGAGGCAGCAGUGAGGAAUUUUGCGCAAUGGGCGAAAGCCUGACGCAGCAACGCCGCGUGGGGGAUGAAGGCUCUCGGGUUGUAAACCCCUUUUCUCUGGGAAGAUGAUGACGGUACCAGAGGAAUAAGCCACGGCAAACUACGU